CCCGGCGACCGGCGCACGGGUGAGUAACACGUAUGCAACCUGGCCGCCACAGGGGGAUAACCCGCGGAAACGCGGCCUAAUACCCCGUGACGCCACCGGAGGGCAUCCUCCGGUGGCCAAAGGAGCGAUCCGGUGGCGGAUGGGUAUGCGGCGCAUUAGCUAGACGGCGGGGUGACGGCCCACCGUGGCGACGAUGCGUAGGGGUUCUGAGAGGAAGGCCCCCCACACUGGGACUGAGACACGGCCCAGACUCCUACGGGAGGCAGCAG
rnacentral:rRNA from 1 species